rnacentral:rRNA from 1 species
UACAUGGGGUGCAAACGUUGCUCGGAAUUACUGGGCGUAAAGCGUGCGCAGGCGGUUGUGCAAGACAGAUGUGAAAUCCCCGGGCUCAACCUGGGAACUGCAUUUGUGACUGCACGGCUGGAGUGCGGCAGAGGGGGAUGGAAUUCCGCGUGUAGCAGUGAAAUGCGUAGAUAUGCGGAGGAACACCGAUGGCGAAGGCAAUCCCCUGGGCCUGCACUGACGCUCAUGCACGAAAGCGUGGGGAGCAAACAGG